UACGGAGGAUGCAAGCGUUAUCCGGAAUGAUUGGGCGUAAAGCGUCCGCAGGUGGCUGUGUAAGUCUGCUGUUAAAGAGUCUAGCUCAACUAGAUAAGAGCAGUGGAAACUACACGGCUAGAGUACGUUCGGGGCAGAGGGAAUUCCUGGUGUAGCGGUGAAAUGCGCAGAUAUCAGGAGGAACACCGGUGGCGAAGGCGGAUCUCUGGGCCUUACCUGACGCUCAGGUGCGAAAGCUAGGGGAGCGAACAGG
rnacentral:rRNA from 1 species